rnacentral:lncRNA from 1 species
CCUGCUCCAGCGGCACAAUGUGAUCCACCGGCAAGGAGGGACGCCAAUAAGGCGUCCGAUAAGAUAAGACAUGCCACCUUGCAAGUCAGGAGAUGCAGCCUCCAGCAGAAGGUCCCGUCUGGAGUGGCGUGAGAACUAAACAGGUCCUAGGCUUCGCAUGCCCCCAGAAUGGCCACUACGGAGGCUGAGGCUGGAAAGAGCACCGGGUGCCAGGAUGGGAACACUGCGUCGGUGGGGUGGUUGGCCAGGGUUUGGACUUUAAGUGUCUCCUAGAACCACCUAAGCAGGAGACCAGAGAGAGAGGAGAGAGGAAGGAGAGAGAGAGCCCCAAUCUUCACUGCCUUCCGGUUCCGGCCACACCUGAAGCCACGCCCAAAGGGGUGUGGCCACUCACAAAUACACUACAAAGGGCAUCAAGAUUGCCUGUGUGGAGGUGACGUGGCAACUGUCAGAAGGGGCCCUAAAAUGUCAGUUCUGUCACACAGUCACGUGACCAGUGGAAGAGGACAGCAGCCCUGGAGCCUGAGAGGCGCUGGGUAGUGCACCCCACUCUAAUGGGUGUGAACUCAGCGGGGG